rnacentral:lncRNA from 1 species
UGAGACAGAGAAACUUCAUUUACUCUUAAUUUUCGUUCAUUUAAGUUGCCACAUGUUGCUAGUGGCUACUAUAUUGAACAGCACAGAUCUGGUGCCUAACAAUAAAUCUGUCAUUCUUCAUCACUUAUAGUGGUUUGUUUCUCUGGUUGAAUCCUGACUGGUGACUACAUAAGGAAAGAACACGUAGACUGAAAGCCAGCCUGCUAGGAAUGAGGGGCUGGAGAACAGAAGGAGGUCUGUCCCGGGAGUCCCACCUGCCUGUGACUGCUCAACUCCUUAUUUGAGAAAAAUGGAUUCCCUGUGAACUUGUCCUUUUGGGAGCCCCAUCUCCAUUCCAAUUCCCAGACCAAGUAUCAAGGUGAACUAAAAUAUUCAUGGCAAGCACGCAGGCUGUGAUAAGAUGUGUUCUUCAACAGGGCUUGUUCUUGAGGAGAGAGCCACGUGCAAUGCUUUCCAGCUGUGUUCACAAACCCAAUUCCACACACCAGGAACAUUUCUUUCUCUUUUUUUCUUUUCAUUUUUGCUUGCUUGGUGAAACAAGAGGUUAGCCGUUCCAGUGUUGAUAUAGGAAAAGAAGAAAGGCUGGCAACCUAAUCAAAGACAAAGCCGACAGCGCAUCAUGCAGCUCAGCAGCGCGCCUGGUUCUAUUCCUCCGGACCACCAGGCGUGCUUUUAACUUCCUCUUAAUUUUGGUCCCGUCCCCUUAGCUUAUCUUCCCGAUAAUAUUAAAAAAAAAAGAAGAAAAAGAACAGAUCGGUCUUACUGCAAGCUGUCUUUAGUGGCUGUUGUUCCCUUCUUAUGCACACGUCCAGGGCCCAGGUCCUCCUAACUUCUCUAUUGUCUGGUGAGUCACUUUUGCUUUCCUGUCGUUGCCUUCCGUGAAUUCUGCACACACCCCACAAGCACCCCGCACUCACUCCCAGCCCUCCGCCUGGGCUCCACACUUCCUAGCUGAGGUCGAGGUCGGUGGCCGUGCGGCUUCCAGCACCCAAUCCCCGGGGUUUGGGCGGGAGCGGGGCACACUGCAGCUCCAGCCCAGCGCCCCGGGGCCGGGCCCGUCUUUUGGGGCCACUCUCCUCCCCUCUUCCCACUGUGACGCGAGUCCCACUUCUGGGGCGGCUUGCGGGCGCUAGCCCUGGGGAUGGUGACACCAAUUCUGAGUUCAGCCCCAGGCGGGUGCGGAGUAGCGGCAGCUGCCCCCGUGCGUGGGGUCCCGGCGGAGGGGAGCGCGGAUCCGCAGAA